CUCGUAGGUGGUUUGUCGCGUUGUUCGUGAAAUCUCACGGCUUAACUGUGAGCGUGCGGGCGAUACGGGCAGACUAGAGUACUGCAGGGGAGACUGGAAUUCCUGGUGUAGCGGUGGAAUGCGCAGAUAUCAGGAGGAACACCGGUGGCGAAGGCGGGUCUCUGGGCAGUAACUGACGCUGAGGAGCGAAAGCGUGGGGAGCGAACAGGAUUAGAUACCCUGGUAGUCCACGCCGUAAACGGUGGGUACUAGGUGUGGGUUUCCUUCCUUGGGAUCCGUGCCGUAGCUAACGCAUUAAGUACCCCGACUGGGGAGUACGGCCGCAAGGCUAAAACUCAAAGGAAUUUAUCGGGGGCCCGCACAAGCGGCGGAGCAUGUGGAUUAAUUCGAUGCAACGCGAAGAACCUUACCUGGGUUCGACAUGCACAGGACGCGUCUAGAGAUAGGCGUUCCCUUGUGGCCUGUGUGCAGGUGGUGCAUGGCUGUCGUCAGCUCGUGUCGUGAGAUGUUGGGUUAAGUCCCGCAACGAGCGCAACCCUUGUCUCAUGUUGCCAGCGGGUAAUGCCGGGGACUCGUGAGAGACUGCCGGGGUCAACUCGGAGGAAGGUGGGGAUGACGUCAAGUCAUCAUGCCCCUUAUGUCCAGGGCUUCACACAUGCUACAAUGGCCGGUACAAAGGGCUGCGAUGCCGUAAGGUUAAGCGAAUCCUUUUAAAGCCGGUCUCAGUUCGGAUUGGGGUCUGCAACUCGACCCCAUGAAGUCGGAGUCGCUAGUAAUCGCAGAUC
rnacentral:rRNA from 1 species